ACUAAUAUGUCUAGCCUACACAUUUAAUAUAUAUACAUUUAAUAACUAUACAUUAUAGUAAUGCAUAUACUCUGAAUACACAAUACAAAUCCUACUGUACAAAGCCUAUGCAUUUAACACAGGUAUGAGCUAAGUCUUUAGCCUAUGUAGCAAUUGAUGAUGUAGAUUUUGACAUUACAGAUUUUAUAUUUUACAAUUGGGAUUUGAAAUCAGGUGUAUACAAACAUACAGACUGGUUGACGGGACGGGACAGGACGGACAUUGAAUAUCUCAUUACACAAGUUGAUGUGUUGGAAGCAGGAAAAGGGCCAACUUGUAAUGGCUAGACGAUUGGGUCAGAGCAUCUCCAAAAUGGCAGGUCUUCUCAGGUGCUCCUGUUAUGCAGUGGUUAAGUGGUCCAUGGAAAGACAAUUAGUGAACCAUCGACAAGGCUCACGGAUGCUUGUGGAGCGAAGGCUAGGCCGUCCGGUCCAAAUUCACAGAAGAGCUAUAUAGCCGCAGACCGGUCAGCGUGUCCAUGCUGACCCCUGUCACCUACCGAAAAUGCCUACAAUGGGCAUGUGAGCAUCAGUGAACCCCUUGACAGUUGCCACUGUAAUAAGAUAAUCAAUGUUAUUCACUUCAACUGUCAGUGGUUUUAAUGUUAUGGCUUACUAUGAGCUCCUCUCCAAAUAAGUGUGCUCAGACACCUCAAUCUUCAUCAUACUCUCGUUCCGCACGCAGUCUUCUUUUGGGAGGGGCCUCUUCAUCACUGUCAUCUUCUUCAGUCAUCUGCUCCCUCCGUCUCCUCCUCCCACAGAAAUGCUCACUGCUGGAGUGCUCUUGCAUGUUGUGGAUACACUCCAAAGCUGGGAAUAAGCUCCACAAAGGGGGUGAGCUACUCUCCGAAUUACUGAGCUCAGACACCUCAUAGUCGUCAUCUUCCUGCUCCACAUGCUGCCUUCUUCUAGGAGGGGCCUCUUCAUCACUGUCCUCUUCAUCGUUCAUCUGCUCCCUCAUCAUCAUCAUCCACCAGAAAUGCUCACUGCUGGAGGGAGCAUCUGCAGAUGGAACGAACACCAAAGUAGGGGAUAAGCGCCACAAAGGGGACGAGUUCCUCUCCAAACUAGCGAAAUCAAUUGGCUCAUCGUCAGCAUCCUCAUGCUCCACACACUGUCUUCUUCUGGGAGGGGACUCUUCAAUGUCAUCCUCUUCAUCAGUCACCUGCUCCCCCCGUCUCCUCCUCUCCCCAUGCUCAUCCUCCACAGUUUCCUCCCUCCAUGUGCCUGUGUCACAGGAGUGAAGAGAUAAUGAGAUAAAUCUGCACAUUUAGUAAAAAGGAAUCAGAAAUUAGCAAACUUUUAGUGAACUAUGUAACUUUUUUUUAACAAGUUAGCUAACAUUAGGCUAAUUAUCACUAUCUUAAACCAUUAGCCAAGUGCUUCAUUUCUGUCCGCUAUUUUCUCCUGUCACUGCCAGCUGGUAUGUUAAGAGUUUAACACGUUUAACACGUAACCGCGGUCACACCAAGCUCGCCACCAUUCAAAUAACCGGAAACGGCUAACCGGAAACGGCUAACCGGAAACGGCU
ensembl:lncRNA